rnacentral:rRNA from 1 species
AGCUUCGGCCAUCCGGCGAGGGAUGGGCCCGCGGUGCAUUAGCUAGUUGGUGGGGUAACGGCCCACCAAGGCGACGAUGCGUAGCUGGUCUGAGAGGAUGAUCAGCCACACUGGGACUGAGACACGGCCCAGACUCCUACGGGAGGCAGCAGCCAGGAAUCUUGGGCAAUGGGCGCAAGCCUGACCCAGCAACACCGUGUGGGCGAUGAAGGCCUUCGGGUCGUAAAGCCCUGUUGAUAGGGACGAAGGGCGAAGGGUUAAUAGCCC